AACGAACGCUGGCGGCAUGCCUAAUACAUGCAAGUCGAACGAUCCCUUCGGGGAUAGUGGCGCACGGGUGCGUAACGCGUGGGAAUCUGCCCUUGGGUUCGGAAUAACGUCUGGAAACGGACGCUAAUACCGGAUGAUGUCGAUAAGACCAAAGAUUUAUCGCCCAGGGAUGAGCCCGCGUAGGAUUAGCUAGUUGGUGGGGUAAAGGCCCACCAAGGCGACGAUCCUUAGCUGGUCUGAGAGGAUGAUCAGCCACACUGGGACUGAGACACGGCCCAGACUCCUACGGGAGGCAGCAGUAGGGAAUAUUGGACAAUGGGGGCAACCCUGAUCCAGCAAUGCCGCGUGAGUGAUGAAGGCCUUAGGGUUGUAAAGCUCUUUUACCCGGGAUGAUAAUGACAGUACCGGGAGAAGAAGCCCCGGCUAACUCCGUGCCAGCCGCCGCCGUAAUAC
rnacentral:rRNA from 1 species